UUUUUUUUUUGAGAGGAGAUAAGAUGAAGAAAUUAAAAGAAAAUAGAGGGAGAAGAUAGAAGCGGCGCUGCGUUGAAUCAUAAUGAAAUUAGGGCCGCAUGGGUUGAAAACAUUUAAUAUUGAUUUUUACUAUGUACUUUUAUUAUUUUUAAUUAUCUUCUUUUAAAUAUGAGUGAUUAGUUUUAGCUUCUUUGUUUUUGCCGUAACAAUUUGGACUUUUAGCUUUAGUUAUUUAAUUAUGGUUUCAAAAUUAUCAUAAUGCAGAUGGGUUGUUGAUUUCUAUUUCUAUAAAAC
rnacentral:lncRNA from 1 species